ACUAGGGUUUGAUUAGGGAUUGGUUUAGGAUUAGGAUUUGGUUUAGAAUUUGGUUAAUAUUUGAUUUAGGAUUUGGUUAGGAUUUUAUUUAGGAUUUAGAUUUUGGUUUAGGAUUUAGAAUUUGAUUUAGGAUUUGGUUAGGGUUUGAUUUAGGAUUUAGGGUUUAGGGUUUAGUUAGGAUUUGGUUAGGAUUUGAUUUAGGAUUUAAAAUUUGAUUUAAGAUUUGGUUAGGGUUUAGUUUAGGAUUUAGGAUUUGGUUUAGGGUUUGGUUAGGAUUUGAUUUGGGAUUUAGGAUUUGAUUGGGGUUUGGUUUAAGGUUUGUUUAGAGUUUGGUUUAGAGUUUAGAUUUUGAUUUAGGAUUUAGGAUUUUAUUAGGAUUUAAGAUUCAAUUAGUUUUGGCAUAAAGUUUGAAUGAAGUUCAAUAGGAUUUUAACUAGGAUUAAAUCAAGAUUGAAUUGAGAUGUAUUUGAAUGAUAUUUGUGAUCAUUCUAAUAUUUCUUUAAGAAUUCUUAUUAUUUGUUUGAAAUUUCUUUGAGGUUUUUUUGAAUUUGAUUAAAGCUUUCUUAGAAUUAUUACAGUCUAAUUAGAGCAUUAUUAGUAUUCUAUUAGAAUUAAGAUUU
rnacentral:lncRNA from 1 species